UACAGAGGGUGCAAGCGUUGUUCGGAUUUACUGGGCGUAAAGCGUGCGUAGGCGGUAUUGAGAGUCAUAGGUGAAAUCCCAGGGCUUAACCCUGGAACUGCCCGUGAGACCUCAGUACUAGAGUGUGAGAGGGGAUGGUGGAAUUCCAAGUGUAGCGGUGAAAUGCGUAGAGAUUUGGAGGAACACCGGUGGCGAAGGCGACCAUCUGGCUCACAACUGACGCUCAGGCACGAAAGCAUGGGUAGCAAAC
rnacentral:rRNA from 1 species